rnacentral:rRNA from 1 species
CCUACGGGAGGCAGCAGUGAGGAAUAUUGGUCCAUGGGCGGAAGCCUGACCCAGCCAAGUAGCGUGCAGGAUGACGGCCCUACGGGUUGUAAACUGCUUUUAUACGGGAAUAACGCGCCUUACGUGUAGGGCUUUGCAUGUACCGUAUGAAUAAGGACCGGCUAAUUCCGUGCCAGCAGCCGCGGUAAUACGGAAGGUCCGGGCGUUAUCCGGAUUUAUUGGGUUUAAAGGGAGCAUAGGCCGCAUGUCAAGCGUGCUGUGAAAUGUCCGGGCUCAACCCGGGCCUUGCAGCGCGAACUGGCGUGCUUGAGUCCGCGGAAAGCAGGCGGAAUUCGUCGUGUAGCGGUGAAAUGCUUAGAUAUGACGAAGAACCCCGAUUGCGAAGGCAGCUUGCUGCAGCGGAACUGACGCUGAUGCUCGAAAGCGCGGGUAUCGAACAGGAUUAGAUACCCUAGUAGUC